ensembl:lncRNA
UGACGGGGAGAGUUUAUAGGCCUGGGUAAGCUGGGUAAGGCGGGGCCUAGUGGACGGUGAGGAAGGCUGUGGGGUCUGUGGGCCAGAGGUUUCCAGGAAGCUGAAGGCUGUGGGUGCAGAGGCGUUAGAGGGAGGGAGCUGGACGAACAGGGCAUGGCCUUGAGGUGAUGAGAGAACAGAAUGUUAGAAAUGGGCAUCCAGGAGGGGCGCGGUCUUUCCUGAUGCCCAGGGAAUGACCCUGCGCUGGGGGAUGCUCGGAUGGGGAGGAGGAGAACAUCCUUGAGGACGGAGAGGCUCCGGUGGACCAGGUUUUCUAUACUCAGGGGGAGUGACUUCUACAAUGAGAGAACACAUUUUACCAGAUAUAAAACCCAGGUCCAUAAACCCAGGACAACCUAGGGAGAGACCAUGACAAGACGAUUCGGAGAAGCACAAAUACAAGAUGCUAAGGAACCUAAGCAGCUCCGCAGGAGAAAGGCCAACUGGAAAAGCAAAAGGGCCUUGUCGCCAGGCAGGGAAUUUUCCGAAGGGGGCGAGCUGAAGGCAGCAGCCCGCCCGAGAGGGGCCCAGCCGGCGCAGACGCAGAAAGAAGCCGCCUCUUUAGCGGAGAAGUCUCAGAGCAGUUUUUUCAAGCACGAAGGGCGGGGCAAGAGGGCGGCUGGUCGGCUGGACGGCGCAACACUGCCACCUGCAGACCAGAGAAACCCAACGCCACCAACCCCAGGGAAAACUCCAUGUUUUCCGUAGUCAUUCCGCGCAAAGACCUGGAGCUCGUGGCUCAGGAAGGUCGGCGGGAGGGAGAUGAGGACCACGGAAAGGAAGAGAAGCGGCCAGAGCGGCCCCGAAAACCAGGCUGGGGCAACGCCGCCUUCCCGCUCGCUGCACCGGCCCCGGCCCCGGCCCCGGCCCGGAACCGUAGCCACAGCGGCAGGAAGUCCCUGCGCCCCAGGAAGGAGGGUCCCGGGGGCGCGGCUGCGCCCCCACAGCCGGGCUCUGGGCCGGCGCACGGGCGCCCCGAGAGGCGGCUGUCAGUCUCCCUGCCGGUGGCCGCUGGCGCUUGCCCUCCGGAUCCUCUUGCGAACUGUGGACCGGGGAUGGCCACGUCCUGUCGCCCGACUGCCCCCCCCCCACCCCCCCGUCACCGUCCCCUCCCCCCCACCGCCCUUGCCCCACGCGCGGGAGCUGGACCAAUCCCCUGUCCUCCUCCUCCUGCCCACCCCCAGGCAGGGAAUGCUCACUGGUGCCUGUCCCCUGGCAUGGUUGAUGCGGGGUCGGUGAGCCGAGGAGUCAAAAGAAAGAUUUCUUAGAUUCUCAAGAUCUGGCAGUAGUGCUCUUUUAUUUAGAGAAUAGUGUGGAAUAGCAUGGGGACAGGACCCAUGGGCAGUCAGAGCUUCUGCUGCCGCCGCUUCUGCUGCCCCCGCUGGCAUGGGGACAGGACCCAUGGGCAGGCAGAGCUGGUGUGUGGGGACAAGACCCACGGGCAGUCAGAGCUCCUGCUGCUGCCCCGAGUUGAGGGUUAGGGCUAAUUUUAUAAGGCAUGGGUACGUGACUUAUUUUUACUGGAGAACAGAAAAGAUGAUGUAAAAAGUCAUUAAAUGAUUUCAGUGC